GAUUCUUCGGAUGAAAGUUUGGUGACUGAGUGGCGGACGGGUGAGUAACGCGUGGGUAACCUGCCCUGUACAGGGGGAUAACAGCUGGAAACGGCUGCUAAUACCGCAUAAGCGCACGAGGAGACAUCUCCUUGUGUGAAAAACUCCGGUGGUACAGGAUGGGCCCGCGUCUGAUUAGCUGGUUGGCAGGGUAACGGCCUACCAAGGCAACGACCAGUAGCCGGUCUGAGAGGAUGAACGGCCACAUUGGAACUGAGACACGGUCCAAACUCCUACGGGAGGCAGCAGUGGGGAAUAUUGCACAAUGGGGGAAACCCUGAUGCAGCAACGCCGCGUGAGUGAAGAAGUAUUUCGGUAUGUAAAGCUCUAUCAGCAGGGAAGAUAAUGACGGUACCUGACUAAGAAGCUCCGGCUAAAUACGUGCCAGCAGCCGCGGUAAUACGUAUGGAGCAAGCGUUAUCCGGAUUUACUGGGUGUAAAGGGUGCGUAGGUGGCAGUGCAAGUCAGAUGUGAAAGGCCGGGGCUCAACCCCGGAGCUGCAUUUGAAACUGCUCGGCUAGAGUACAGGAGAGGCAGGCGGAAUUCCUAGUGUAGCGGUGAAAUGCGUAGAUAUUAGGAGGAACACCAGUGGCGAAGGCGGCCUGCUGGACUGUUACUGACACUGAGGCAC
rnacentral:rRNA from 1 species